AACGACUCUCGGCAACGGAUAUCUCGGCUCUCGCAUCGAUGAAGAACGUAGCGAAAUGCGAUACAUGGUGUGAAUUGCAGAAUCCCGUGAACCAUCGAGUCUUUGAACGCAAGUUGCGCCCGAAGCCAUCAGGUUGAGGGCACGUC
rnacentral:rRNA from 5 species